AUUGAACGCUGGCGGCAUGCUUUACACAUGCAAGUCGAACGGUAACAGGCCGCAAGGUGCUGACGAGUGGCGAACGGGUGAGUAAUGCAUCGGAACGUGCCCAGUCGUGGGGGAUAACGCAGCGAAAGCUGUGCUAAUACCGCAUACGAUCUAUGGAUGAAAGCGGGGGACCGUAAGGCCUCGCGCGAUUGGAGCGGCCGAUGUCAGAUUAGCUAGUUGGUGGGGUAAAGGCCCACCAAGGCGACGAUCUGUAGCUGGUCUGAGAGGACGACCAGCCACACUGGGACUGAGACACGGCCCAGACUCCUACGGGAGGCAGCAGUGGGGAAUUUUGGACAAUGGGCGCAAGCCUGAUCCAGCAAUGCCGCGUGCAGGAAGAAGGCCUUCGGGUUGUAAACUGCUUUUGUACGGAACGAAACGGUCUGGGUUAAUACCUCGGGCUAAUGACGGUACCGUAAGAAUAAGCACCGGCUAACUACGUGC
rnacentral:rRNA from 1 species